rnacentral:lncRNA from 1 species
CUUAAUUGUACACAGCACCAACUGAUAGUCUGGGAUCCUAGAGUGAACAAGAAGGGGAAAGUGAGCUGAGAAUCAGCCUCUAUCUCUGUUUGUUUCCAGAGUACAGAUGAAAUGUGAAUAGCCACCUUAAGCUUCUCUCACCAUGUCUGCCAUGACUUUAUGAACUGAAUGCUUGAAUUGUGAGAAAACGCAAACUGCCUAUGGGCAACAAAAACAUUAACAUAUAUGCUUGUUAUUCUGCAGUUCUUCUAGAGAAAUUAGUGGGAAAGGACGCCUUGUCUGUUUACUCCAUUGUGUGCACACAAGAAGGUUUCACUUCUCUGAAAGUACUUCAUUCACACAAGGUCAUGCUCCAAAAGAACCUCUGAGGUGAGAAAGACAGCAACCAAUGCCUCUGAACUCUACAGAUCAUACUGUCAAGUUUCCAAAUGAAGACCUGGGAGAAGAAUCAGUAGUCAACUCACUUGCCAUCAAGCCUGAUGACUUGAGUUACAUCCCUCCUAGGACUCACAUGUUUGAAGAAGAAAGGCAGCUUCAAGCCACCCAUACAUAAAACUUGUGUUCCCUGUCCUAAUCUCCCCACAUAACAAACCAUUACAUUAAAUUAAAAAUGUUUAUCAUUUUGAAAUAAAGCUGUAGUUAUUACUUCAACUUCUAAAUAUACAAUAAACUAUUUUUAAUUAGAGAUUAUGGGAGAGAAGUGUCAUUAUAGCUACUUAUGGGGCAGAAGCAAGAG